AGGGUUUGAUCAUGGCUCAGGACGAACGCUGGCGGCGUGCUUAACACAUGCAAGUCGAACGGAGCACCCCUGAAGGAGUUUUCGGACAACGGAAGGGAAUGCUUAGUGGCGGACUGGUGAGUAACGCGUGAGGAACCUGCCUUUCAGAGGGGGACAACAGUUGGAAACGACUGCUAAUACCGCAUGAUGCAUUGAGGGGGCAUCCCCUUGAUGCCAAAGAUUUAUCGCUGAAAGAUGGCCUCGCGUCUGAUUAGCUAGUUGGAGGGGUAACGGCCCACCAAGGCGACGAUCAGUAGCCGGACUGAGAGGUUGACCGGCCACAUUGGGACUGAGAUACGGCCCAG
rnacentral:rRNA from 1 species